CUUAGUACCACCCUGAAUGCACCCAACCUCAUCUAAUCUCAGAAGCUAAGCAGGGUUGGGCCUGGUUAGUACUUGGAUGGGAGACAUCUUCACAUUUUUUGCUUCUAUCUGAGU
rnacentral:rRNA from 1 species